rnacentral:tRNA from 1 species
GGGCGGUUAGCUCAGCGGGAGAGCAUCGGCCUUACAAGCCGAGGGUCGUGCGUUCGAUCCGCACACCGCCCA